rnacentral:rRNA from 1 species
UACGUAGGGGGCUAGCGUUGUCCUGAAUCAUUGGGCGUAAAGCGCGUGUAGGCGGUUCGGUAAGUCCGCUGUGAAAGUCGGGGGCUCAACCCUCGGAUGCCGGUGGAUACUGUCGAGCUUGAGUACGGAAGAGGCGAGUGGAAUUCCUGGUGUAGCGGUGAAAUGCGCAGAUAUCAGGAGGAACACCAAUUGCGAAGGCAGCUCGCUGGGACGUUACUGACGCUGAGACGCGAAAGCGUGGGGAGCAAACAGG